GACGAACGCUGGCGGCGUGCUUAACACAUGCAAGUCGAACGGAAAGGCCCUGCUUUUGUGGGGUGCUCGAGUGGCGAACGGGUGAGUAACACGUGAGUAACCUGCCCUUGACUUUGGGAUAACUUCAGGAAACUGGGGCUAAUACCGGAUAGGAGCUCCUGCUGCAUGGUGGGGGUUGGAAAGUUUCGGCGGUUGGGGAUGGACUCGCGGCUUAUCAGCUUGUUGGUGGGGUAGUGGCUUACCAAGGCUUUGACGGGUAGCCGGCCUGAGAGGGUGACCGGCCACAUUGGGACUGAGAUACGGCCCAGACUCCUACCGGAGGCAACAGUGGGGAAUAUUGCACAAUGGGCGGAAGCCUGAUGCAGCAACGCCGCGUGCGGGAUGACGGCCUUCGGGUUGUAAACCGCUUUCGCCUGUGACGAAGCGUGAGUGACGGUAAUGGGUAAAGAAGCACCGGCUAACUACGUG
rnacentral:rRNA from 1 species